rnacentral:rRNA from 1 species
GACGAACGCUGGCGGCGUGCUUAACACAUGCAAGUCGAACGGUGAAGCUCCAGCUUGCUGGAGUGGAUCAGUGGCGAACGGGUGAGUAACACGUGAGCAACCUGCCCCUGACUCUGGAAUAAGCGCUGGAAACGGCGUCUAAUACUGGAUACGAGAAGGGUCCGCAUGGGCACUUUCUGGAAAGUUUUUCGGUUGGGGAUGGGCUCGCGGCCUAUCAGCUUGUUGGUGAGGUAAUGGCUCACCAAGGCGACGACGGGUAGCCGGCCUGAGGGGGCGACCGGCCAACCGGGGACGGAAAGAGGGCCGGACCACCCACGGAGGGGAGGAGGGGGUAGGAUUGAAAAAGGGGGGAACGAAAGAGGGAGCGAGCCCGGGUGAGGGAGGGAGGCCUUCGGGUGGAAAGCACUUUUCGGGGGGAAAGAAGGAAAAGGAAGGGAACCGGAGAAAAAACGCCGGGUAAACCAGGU